GACGGUUUGGCCGAGUGGUCUAAGGCGCUGGAUUUAGGCUCCAGUUCGAAAGAGCGUGGGUUCAAAUCCCACAGCCGUCA
rfam:Physcomitrella patens subsp. patens PHYPAscaffold_69 genomic scaffold, whole genome shotgun sequence.